rnacentral:rRNA from 1 species
GACGAACCGUGCGAACGUUAUUCGGAAUCACUGGGCUUAAAGCGCGUGUAGGCGGGUCGGCACGUCGGACGCUGAAAUCCCCCGGCUCAACCGGGGAAGGGCGCCGAUACGGCCGGCCUGGAGGGACGUAGGGGGGGCUGGAACUUCCGGUGGAGCGGUGAAAUGCGUUGAGAUCGGAAGGAACGCCCGUGGCGAAAGCGAGCCCCUGGACGUCUACUGACGCUGAGACGCGAAAGCCAGGGGAGCGAACGGG